AAUAGAGCAAUUAAUAUGGAAGAACAAGCACCGUGUAGAAGUAGAUUUAGAGUCUUGGGUAUAUGCCCAAGAAUGAUGUAGCUGGAUCAUGUGGUAGCUUUAUUCUCCACUUGUUGAGGACCAGCUACACUGAUUUACAGUGGUUGUAUCAAUUUGUACUCAAACCACUAAAGGAUGAUAUCCUUUCUCUACAGUCAUGCCAUGUUCUACUGUAUACUUUUAAAGACCUUGCCCAUUCUGAGUGGUGUAAGGUGUUUGAAGUCUCAAAGUUGUUCCCCAUUUCCCUGAUGACUUAGAGUGGUCUACAUGUUUCUCAGACAUUUCAUUAAAAUUUUUAUUUUUGGAGUUUUCUUUUUUGGAUACAGGGUUCUCUUCUGACAGUUCUGGAGUCCUCUGUGUAGACCCAGCUGACAUGACCUCACAGAGAUCCACCUGCCUCUGCCCACCAAGAGCUGGGAUUAAUAGAGCCAUCAUGCGCUGCCCAGCCUAGCCCUUAUGUGUCUGGGUCUUCUGGAAGAGCAGCCAGUGCUCUUAACAGCUGAGCUGUCUCCAGCUCCAGUAUGUCUUGAGAAGUUUGUUUAGUUCCUUGCUGUGUUUUUGUUUGUUUGUUUAUUUUUCAAAACAGGUUUUCUCUGUCCUGGAAAUCAGUGCCCAGCCCUUGCUGUAUUUUAAAGAUUGGCUUAUUUGCUUGCUUGUUUUUGAGGUUUAGGGUCAUGUCCCUUGUUUUGUUUUUAAAAAGACUUUUAAUGCUUAUGUGUGUGGUAUGUGAGCAUAGGUUCUAAUGGCUGUGUGUUCUAACUGCUGAGCUGUUAGCUCCCCAGCCCAUGUUUUAAGAUUUUUUUUAGUUCUUUGUGUCUUCUAGACACUAACUCUCUACCAGAUGUGUAGCUGGUAAAGCACUUUUCUCCUUCUGUAGUUGUCUUUUCACUUGAAUGAUACUGUCUCUUUGUUGUGCAGAAACCUUAAGUUUUAUGAGGUCCCAUUUAUCAAUUGUUGGUUUUACUGCCUGCACUGCCGGGGUCCUGUCCAGAAAGUCCUUCUGUGUGCUUUUAAGUUUAUCCCCCCCCCCCCCAAUCAGAUUCAGGGUGUCAUGCCUUACACUGAGGUCCUUUGAUCCAUUUGGAGUUGAGGUCUGGGCAGGGUGAGAGAUAAGAUUCCAGUUUACUCCACAUCCUGCUUUUCAGUUUGAGCAGUAUCAUUUAUUAAAGAUGUCUUUCCUCUGGUGUGUAUCUUUGUUCCCUUUAUCAAAACUCAGAUGGUGGUGGGUGUGUGUGUGUGUGAACUCCCAGGGUCCUCAGUUCUGCAUUGGGUAAUGUGCCUUUUUAUGCCAGUGCCUUGCUGGUUUUACUGCUGUAGCUCCAUAGUAUAGGUCUAAGCUUGGGGGUGGCGAUCCCCUCCGCAGCCCUUUCACUGCUGAGGAUGGUUUUACUUUGCAGAAUGUAUUUUUCAGAUAAUGGGGUUACUGAUGUGUGUGUGUAAUAUGUAUUUUCUGUAUAAAAUCGAAUUCAUAUGUAAUUUAUGUAUAAAA
rnacentral:lncRNA from 1 species